rnacentral:rRNA from 1 species
GCUGAUGAAGGUGCAUUGAGAAGUGUGCUGGAGGUAUCAGAAGUGCGAAUGCUGACAUGAGUAACGAUAAUGUGGGUGAAAAGCCCACACGCCGGAAGUCCCAGGUUUCCUGCACGACGUUAAUCGGAGCAGGGUGAGUCGGCCCCUAAGGCGAGGCUGAAGAGCGUAGUCGAUGGGAACCAGGUUAAUAUUCCUGGACUUUUUAUAAGUGGUGAAGUGGGGACGAAGAAGGCUAGGUGAGCCAGGCGUUGGUUGUCCUGGUACUUGCAUGUAGGGGGGAAGACUUGGCAAAUCCGGUUUUCCAUAACUCUGAGGUGCGAAGUGGUUCUGACCUUUUGGUACAGAGAAGUCAUUGAUGCCCGGCUUCCAGGAAAAGCUGCUAGCCAUAACUUAUAGAGAACCGUACCGCAAACCGACACAGGUGGACAGGUAGAGAAUACUAAGGCGCUUGAGAGAACUCGGGUGAAGGAACUAGGCAAAAUGGUACCGUAACUUCGGGAGAAGGUACGCCCUUUCUGGUGAUGGGAUUUACUUUCAGAGCUGGAGAGGGCCGCAGAGACCAGGUGGCUGCGACUGUUUAUUAAAAACACAGCACUCUGCAAAUUCGUAAGAAGACGUAUAGGGUGUGACGCCUGCCCGGUGCCGGAAGGUUAAUUGAUGGGGUUAUCUUCGGAGAAGCUCUUGAUCGAAGCCCCGGUAAACGGCGGCCGUAACUAUAACGGUCCUAAGGUAGCGAAAUUCCUUGUCGGGUAAGUUCCGACCUGCACGAAUGGCGUAACGAUGGCCACACUGUCUCCACCCGAGACUCAGUGAAAUUGAAAUCGCUGUGAAGAUGCAGUGUACCCGCGGCUAGACGGAAAGACCCCGUGAACCUUUACUAUAGUUUUGCACUGGACUUUGAUGAUGACUGUGUAGGAUAGGUGGGAGGCUGUGAAGUGAGGACGCUAGUUCUCAUGGAGCCGCCCUUGAAAUACCACCCUGUUGUUAUUGAGGUUCUAACUUGGUCCAGUAAUCCUGGAUGAGGACAGUGUAUGAUGGGUAGUUUGACUGGGGCGGUCUCCUCCCAAAGAGUAACGGAGGAGCACAAAGGUACCCUCGGUACGGUCGGACAUCGUACCAAGAGUGUAAAGGCAAAAGGGUGCUUGACUGCGAGAGUGACGGCUCGAGCAGGAACGAAAGUUGGUCUUAGUGAUCCGGUGGUUCUGAAUGGAAGGGCCAUCGCUCAACGGAUAAAAGGUACUCCGGGGAUAACAGGCUGAUACCGCCCAAGAGUUCAUAUCGACGGCGGUGUUUGGCACCUCGAUGUCGGCUCAUCACAUCCUGGGGCUGAAGCAGGUCCCAAGGGUAUGGCUGUUCGCCAUUUAAAGUGGUACGCGAGCUGGGUUUAGAACGUCGUGAGACAGUUCGGUCCCUAUCUGCCGUGGGCGUAGGAAAAUUGAGAGGAGCUGCUCCUAGUACGAGAGGACCGGAGUGGACGAACCUCUGGUGCACCGGUUGUCACGCCAGUGGCAUGGCCGGGUAGCUAAGUUCGGACGGGAUAACCGCUGAAAGCAUCUAAGCGGGAAGCCUCCCUCAAGAUGAGUUUUCCCAUGAAGCCCGUUGAAGACUACGACGUUGAUAGGCAAGGUGUGGAAGCGCAGUAAUGCGUGAAGCUAACUUGUACUAAUUGGCUGAUUGUCUUGACCAUAUAAUCUGAG